GUGUCCCAAGUCACUAUUUUUAUUAUUAAAUCCCAAAUCGAAGAAAAUUCGACUUUUAUUUUGAAGUCUGCAAACCAAAAAAUUUGAAUAAGAAAUUCUAUUAACUCGGGGAGGUGUUAGGCACCCCCGAAUUUCGUGGUUCUAGCACGGUCACUUAAACUAUUAUAAUUUGAAUAUUAUCUAAUUUUACUACAUGUUAUAGCUAUGGUAUAUUUUAAAUU
rnacentral:lncRNA from 1 species